AGAGUUUGAUCAUGGCUCAGGACGAACGCUGGCGGCGUGCUUAACACAUGCAAGUCGAACGGAAAGGCCCUUUCGGGGGUACUCGAGUGGCGAACGGGUGAGUAACACGUGGGUGAUCUGCCUGCACUCUGGGAUAAGCCUGGGAAACUGGGUCUAAUACCGGAUAGGACCAUGGGAUGCAUGUCUUGUGGUGGAAAGUG
rnacentral:rRNA from 1 species